CAUUUGUAAACAAGCGUUAUGGGCCUUGAAAACAUUUUCUACAUUUUAGUAAUUGUAAUGGUAGCUAACAAGCCUCCAGAUUGCUAUCCGCCAUCGAAUUGCGUGGGAAAUUGAAACUCCAUACAAUAUAAAUAUUAACAUCAUAUAACUAUCUGUAUCACUGAAUAAAACGUUUAGUUUAUAAAUUUUAUAAUGUAACUUAAUAUCUAAAAUCGUAAAAUAGAUCGAUUAACCUGG